UCUGUACUGUUUCAGGAUAGAUCUGUUACUGGAUUAAAUUCAGUGGUUUAUGGUAGUUGGCCGUGCUUUGCCCAGUGCAGAGCUGCUUUGAAGAGUGGCCUUACCACCUCUUUAAGCUCAAGGGAAAAUUAUUGGCUGGAUUUCAGUGGGUUUAAUUGUCGGGGAAAAGGCACCAAAAAAAGGAAAUGAAUUUUCCUGCAGGCGCCUUAUACGAAAUUCAUCAAGAUGUUGCAUAUUUCUGUACAAAUCAAAGCUUGCUAUUUUGCGUAUACAUGAAUUUGUGUGUGUGUGUGUGUGUGUGUGUAUGUGUGUGUGUAUCCAUCUGUCAUCAGGGAGGCUCGCUGAGGAGACUUGGUGGAGCCCACAACUCAGGGGUCAAGUCCAGGCUUUCCCAACAUCUCUACCCCCACUAUCGUCCAUCCCUGCUCUCUCCUCCUCUCUGGAGAAAUGGACGGAGUGCAGGAGAGGGACGUGAGAAGUAUGUGAGGACAGAGAGAGAGAGAAAGAGAGAAAAACAAGAGAAUGUUUGA
rnacentral:lncRNA from 1 species